CACGUGGCCAGGGGCUGGCCAAUGACCAGGCCGCCCGGGAUGAGCUAAUAAUGGAAGCAAUUUGUAACUUUCAGUAACUCUCUAGGCCUGGGUACCGGAGGGAGGGAGGCGGGCAGAGGAGGGGAGAUGGGCACCCCCAGUUUUUCCAUCCUCCUCAUUCGUCUAGGGGCACCCGAAUCCCCUAUUCCUUAUUUCCCCUAUCACUCAGGCACUGGCAGGGUCCUUUUCCCACUCCUGUUGGCCGCCGCGGCUCCAAAGCGAGCUGGGCAGAUGUGCCUGAGACAGGUUUGACCAGGCAACUGAAAAUAUAUCCCUAAGAGAAGACAAAACAAAGAUAUGAAAGGAACACACUUCCCUGACUGACUAGGAGGAACAGAGCUGCCUGCUGACUGGAACCGCUUCCUCCCAGACUAAGGUUUCCCAGAGGAAGAGAGAGAAUUUGGACAAAUGAAUGAGGAACAACGCUCUCCUGAGGGUUUUCUUUAAGGGGCAAGGAUCAAUGCCUCUAGAUCCUUUGAAAGCAGAGUUAAGAGGCAGUGCAGGAAGGCACAGCAGGAAGGUUCAUGGUUAGACUACAGAGAAGGAAGCAGCCACUGCUGGGGACCUACCCUGUGCUGGUCACUGACAAGCUGUCUCAUUAAACCUUCCCGGACCCUCAACCCCUCCUAGUAUCUUAUCCUCAUUUUACAGAUGAGAAGACUGCGGCCCAAAGAGGUCCAAUGCCAGUGGGAUCAGCUUCGAUGGGAUGCGCACAGACUGACCUCUUCUCCCCAGCCCCUUCAACUUCCCAGAGCUGCAGGGGGCCUGGGAGUUCUUGGUAACAGCACAUUAAACCUCUGUUUGUGGGAACUUUAAUUUAAACAUAAAUUAGAAACGGCAAAUGACUCUGGCAGCCAGAUAAGCCAUCCCGGGAGAACAAGGAGAAAGCCAAGAGAAUCAGCCCAGAUAAGGCCUGACUUUAAACUAAUGGUGAUACCCAGAAGCCUGGGACAGAUGAAAUCUAGGGGUCCUGAAUGAAGAACCCCAGAAGCUCCACACCCCAGUUGUCCUUGCUCUGGGCUCUAUGUCAG
rnacentral:lncRNA from 1 species